rnacentral:rRNA from 1 species
UACGAAGGGGGCUAGCGUUGUUCGGAAUUACUGGGCGUAAAGCGCGCGCAGGCGGUUCUUCAAGUCAGAGGUGAAAGCCCAGAGCUCAACUCUGGAAUGGCCUUUGAGACUAGAGAACUAGGGUACGGGAGAGGUGAGCGGAAUUCCGAGUGUAGAGGUGAAAUUCGUAGAUAUUCGGAAGAACACCAGUGGCGAAGGCGGCUCACUGGCCCGUUACCGACGCUCAGGCGCGACAGCGUGGGGAGCAACAGG